CCUACGGGAGACAGCAGUGAGGAAUAUUGGUCAAUGGACGGGAGCCUGAACCAGCCAAGUCGCGUGAGGGAUGAAGGUACUGAGUAUUGUAAACCUCUUUUGUCAGGGGACAAAGGCGGCCACGGGUGGCCGUAAGCGGGUACCUGGUGAAUAAGCAUCGGCUAACUCCGUGCCAGCAGCCGCGGUAAUACGGAGGAUGCGAGCGUUAUCCGGAUUUAUUGGGUUUAAAGGGUGCGCAGGGGGCGUGUCAAGUCAGCGGGAAAAUGUCGGGGCUCAACCCCGGCCGGCCGUUGAAACUGGCGUGCUCGAGUAGAAGAGAAGUAGGCGGAAUUCGUGGUGGAGCGGUGAAAUGCAUAGAUAUCACGAAGAACCCCGAUUGCGAAGGCAGCAUAC
rnacentral:rRNA from 1 species